AUUUGAAAUCGGCCACCAGGUCGAGUUGUAAUUUGUAGAUUGUAUCUUGAGAGCGGAUUAAAGUCUGUUGGAACACAGCGCCUUAGAGGGUGACAGCCCCGUAAAAUCUAUUCUCAUUGUAAGAUACUUUCGAAGAGUCGAGUUGUUUGGGAAUGCAGCUCUAAGUGGGAGGUAAAUUCCUUCUAAAGCUAAAUAUUGACGAGAGACCGAUAGCGAACAAGUACUGUGAAGGAAAGAUGAAAAGCACUUUGAAAAGAGAGUGAAAAAGUACGUGAAAUUGUUAAAAGGGAAGGGUAUUGAAUCAAACUUGGUGCUGUUGUUCAACUGUGUUUCGGCAUAGUGUACUCAGCAGUACUAGGCCAAGGUGGGGUGUUUGGGAGUGAAAAAGAAGUUGGAACGUAACUCUUCGGAGUGUUAUAGCCUACUUUCAUAGCUCCUCAGGCGCCUCAGGACUGCGCUUCGGCAAGGACCUUGGCAUAAUGAUUCUAUACCGCC
rnacentral:rRNA from 1 species